rnacentral:rRNA from 1 species
CCCUUGGUACACACCGCCCGUCACACCAUGGGAGUGGGUUAGUACCAGAAGCAGGUAGUUUAACCGCAAGGGGGAACGCCUCGACCACGGUAUGGUUCAUGACUGGGGUG